rnacentral:rRNA from 1 species
GCCCUUCGGGGUGGAUUAGUGGCGAACGGGUGAGUAACACGUGGGCAAUCUGCCCUUCACUCUGGGACAAGCCCUGGAAACGGGGUCUAAUACCGGAUAAUACUUUCCCUCUCCUGGGGGAAGGUUGAAAGCUCCGGCGGUGAAGGAUGAGCCCGCGGCCUAUCAGCUAGUUGGUGGGGUAAUGGCCUACCAAGGCGACGACGGGUAGCCGGCCUGAGAGGGCGACCGGCCACACUGGGACUGAGACACGGCCCAGACUCCUACGGGAGGCAGCAGUGGGGAAUAUUGCACAAUGGGCGAAAGCUGAUGCAGCGACGCCGCGUGAGGGAUGACGGCCUUCGGGUUGUAAACCUCUUUCAGCAGGGAAGAAGCGAAAGUGACGGUACCUGCAGAAGAAGCGCCGGCUAACUACGUGCCAGCAGCCGCGGUAAUACGUAGGGCGCAAGCGUUGUCCGGAAUUAUUGGGCGUAAAGAGCUCGUAGGCGGCUUGUUGCGUCGGUUGUGAAAGCCCGGGGCUUAACCCCGGGUCUGCAGUCGAUACGGGCAGGCUAGAGUGUGGUAGGGGAGAUCGGAAUUCCUGGUGUAGCGGUGAAAUGCGCAGAUAUCAGGAGGRACACCGGUGGCGAAGGCGGAUCUCUGGGSCAUUACUGACGCUGAGGAG